AGCGAACGCUGGCGGCAGGCUUAACACAUGCAAGUCGAGCGGGCGUAGCAAUACGUCAGCGGCAGACGGGUGAGUAACGCGUGGGAACGUACCUUUUGGUUCGGAACAACCCAGGGAAACUUGGACUAAUACCGAAUAAGCCCUUACGGGGAAAGAUUUAUCGCCGAAAGGUCGGCCCGCGUCUGAUUAGCUAGUUGGUGAGGUAACGGCCCACCAAGGCGACGAUCAGUAGCUGGUCUGAGAGGAUGGUCAGCCACAUUGGGACUGAGACACGGCCCAAACUCCUACGGGAGGCAGCAGUGGGGAAUAUUGGACAAUGGGCGCAAGCCUGAUCCAGCCAUGCCGCGUGAGUGAUGAAGGCCCUAGGGUUGUAAAGCUCUUUUGUGCGGGAAGAUAAUGACGGUACCGCAAGAAUAAGCCCCGGCUAACUUCGUGCCAGCAGCCGCCGUAACAC
rnacentral:rRNA from 1 species